rnacentral:rRNA from 1 species
ACGGAAGGCAGCAGUGGGGAAUAUUGGGCAAUGGGGGAAACCCUGACCCAGCAACGCCGCGUGAAGGAAGAAGGCCUUCGGGUUGUAAACUUCUUUUACCAGGGACGAUAAUGACGGUACCUGGAGAAAAAGCAACGGCUAACUACGUGCCAGCAGCCGCGGUAAUACGUAGGUUGCAAGCGUUGUCCGGAUUUACUGGGUGUAAAGGGAGCGCAGACGGCAUGGCAAGCCAGAUGUGAAAGGCAGGGGCUCAACUCCUGGACUGCAUUUGGAACUGUCAAGCUAGAGUAUCGGAGAGGUAAGUGGAAUUCCUAGUGUAGCGGUGAAAUGCGUAGAUAUUAGGAGGAACACCAGUGGCGAAGGCGGCUUACUGGACGAUAACUGACGUUGAGGCUCGAAAGCAUGGGGAGCAAACAGGAUUAGAUACCCUGGUA